UACGUAGGGUGCAAGCGUUGUCCGGAAUUAUUGGGCGUAAAGAGCUCGUAGGCGGUUCGUCGCGUCGGCUGUGAAAACCUGAGGCUCAACCUCAGGCCUGCAGUCGAUACGGGCGGACUUGAGUACUGCAGGGGAGACUGGAAUUCCUGGUGUAGCGGUGAAAUGCGCAGAUAUCAGGAGGAACACCGGUGGCGAAGGCGGGUUUCUGGGCAGUAACUGACGCUGAGGAGCGAAAGCGUGGGGAGCGAACAGG
rnacentral:rRNA from 1 species